GCUGAGAAAAGAUGUGAAGAUAUGGGAAACCACUGCGCCUUUUUGAACAGUAGAGGACUUUGUACCAACCGAUUCGCUAGAAGAUACAUGGAGGCUAACUGCCCCGCUACUUGUCAAUUCUGUCAAGCGGGCCAAUUAAUUGGAGCAAACAACGUAAAUAAGGCCUCCAGAGUGGGAUCCGCCUCUUUGUAUUUUGCUGUUCCAAUCGUUCUACUGAGCUUGUUCCAUUUAUAGCGAGAAAGGAUGUGAUAAAGACUGGCACAUGUCUGUUCUGUAUUCAGUCACAAUCAGGAUUCAACAUUGACUGUUCUAAAAUUUCAUGAUUUUAAACUGUUCCACCAGCUAACAUUUGCAGAAAGAGGCAUUUAUUGUAUAUCCUCAUGCAUGCUCUGAAAUCGAUAUUCUUUAACUCCGAUAACGUUUCAUUUUAAUUCCAAGUUGAGGUAUCAUUUCUUACAUCUUUUGGUACAUGAAUCAUUACACCACUGCCUGAUGCAUUUCGGAGUAUUUCAAAACCUUGUGGUUAACACGCACAUGAAUAUAAAAUCUCUAUUGCAUUUACGAGAUCAUUGUCUUAAUAAUAAAAAAUGGAAACU